GUCUAUGGUCAUAUCACCUUGAACACGCCCAAUCUUGUCUGAUUUCAGAAGCUAAGCAGGGUCCGGCCUGGUUAGUACUUGGAUCGGAAACAAAAAUACUUAAGUCU
ensembl:rRNA 5S_rRNA 5S ribosomal RNA